UCCGGUGGACCUCGGAGAGGGUGCGAAGGGCCAGAAGGCCAAAGGGACGCACAAACCAGUGGCCCAACGGCCUCCUCUUCACGCUGCUGCAAUUGAUGCCAUUUUAGCGUACACGAAAAGCACGGCCACAGGGAAAGGGUGGGAGUGCUCAGAAAAA